GGAAGGGUGGCAGAGUGGUCUAAUGCACCGGUCUUGAAAACCGGCGAUGUGCAAGCAUCCGUGGGUUCGAAUCCCACCCCUUCCGCCA
rnacentral:tRNA from 1 species